ensembl:lncRNA
AUUUUUGAUUGCACUGUUUGCGACUAGGGAAUGCAUGCUAAGUUGCUUCAUUCGUAUCUGUGGACUGGAGGCUGCCAGCUUCCUCUGUCCAUAGGAUUCUCCAGGCAGGAAUACUGAAGUGGGUUUCCGUGCCCUCAUCCAGGGGAUCUUCCCAACCCAGCGACCGAACCGGAGUCUCCUGCAGUGACAGGCAGGUUCUUCCCUUCCGGGGUCCAGCCUCAGCAGAGUCCAGGGAUAUCCUCAGGACGGACGAUGUCGGCGAAUGAAGAAAGAGAUAGAGAUAAGGAAAGAACAACACAGGGUGCCCAAGCUUCUUUGAUUUUUCUAAGAAGCAUUCCCAACUUCACCCACUCCUGCCACUGAAAAUGACUUUCAGCAUCGUUGCCUGCUUUUGUGACAACCAACGUGCCUUUUCCAGUUUUCUUUUUCCAGAAUAGAAGCAAGCUUGAAACUAAAAAAUGAUGUGCUUUUUGCCACUUCUAGAAGGAUGGGAGGGAUUUCAAAGUCUUGCGUCUUUUCAGGACCUCUGUAUAUACGAAUAUGUUCAUCAUGCAUGAAUUGCAGCUGAAAAAACGAAUCAGCUUUAACGAUAGAUUUCGAAAUUCACCUGAAGAUACUCUAAAGGAUGCAUGUCUUUAUGUUCUUACUACAUUGGAGGAAGGUAACUGGUCUACCAUGAUAAAUCUGUAGGAAAUGCUUCGUUAUGCACCC